CCUACGGGAGGCAGCAGUGGGGAAUAUUGCGCAAUGGGCGAACGCCUGACGCAGCGACGCCGCGUGCGGGAUGAAGGUCUUCGGAUCGUAAACCUCUGUCAGCAGGGAAGAACGGUCACUGUGCUAAUCGGCAGUGAAUUGACGGUACCUGCAAAGGAAGCACCGGCUAACUCCGUGCCCGCAGCCGAGAUCAUACGGAGGGUGCGAGCGUUAAUCGGAAUUACUGGGCGUAAAGCGCUCGUAGGCGGUAUGUCAAGUCAAGGGUGACAUCCCCGCGCUCAACGUGGGAACUGCCUUUGAAACUGGCAAACUGGAGUGUGUGAGUGGAUAGUGGAAUUCCAGGUGUAGGAGUGAAAGCCGUAGAUAUCUGGAGGAACAUCAGUGGCGAAGGCGACGAUCUGGCACAUAACUGACGCUGAGGAGCGAAAGCGUGGGUAGCAAACAGGAUUAGAUACCCUUGUAGUC
rnacentral:rRNA from 1 species